AUGAAGUCGGAAUUGCUAGUAAUCGCGGAUCAGCAUGCCGCGGUGAAUACGUUCCCGGGCCUUGUACACACCGCCCGUCACACCAUGGGAGUCGGUAACACCCGAAGCCUGUAGUCUAACCGCAAGGGGGACGCAGUCGAAGGUGGGAUUGAUGACUGGGGUGAAGUCGUAACAAGGUAUC
rnacentral:rRNA from 1 species